AUUGAACGCUGGCGGCAGGCCUAACACAUGCAAGUCGAGCGGAUGAAGGGAGCUUGCUCCUGGCUUCAGCGGCGGACGGGUGAGUAAUGCCUAGGAAUCUGCCUGGUAGUGGGGGAUAACGUCCGGAAACGGGCGCUAAUACCGCAUCCGUCCUGAGGGAGAAAGUGGGGGAUCUUCGGACCUCACGCUAUCAGAUGAGCCUAGGUCGGAUUAGCUAGUUGGUGGGGUAAAGGCCUACCAAGGCGACGAUCCGUAACUGGUCUGAGAGGAUGAUCAGUCACACUGGAACUGAGACACGGUCCAGACUCCUACGGGAGGCAGCAGUGGGGAAUAUUGGACAAUGGGCGAAAGCCUGAUCCAGCCAUGCCGCGUGUGUGAAGAAGGUCUUCGGAUUGUAAAGCACUGUAAGUUGGGAGGAAGGGCAGUAAGUUAAUACCUUGCUGUUUUGACGUUACCAACAGAAUAAGCACCGGCUAACUUCGUG
rnacentral:rRNA from 1 species